rnacentral:rRNA from 1 species
UACGAAGGGGGCUAGCGUUGUUCGGAAUCACUGGGCGUAAAGCGCACGUAGGCGGAUUUUUAAGUCAGGGGUGAAAUCCCGAGGCUCAACCUCGGAACUGCCUUUGAUACUGAAGAUCUUGAGUUCGGGAGAGGUGAGUGGAACUGCGAGUGUAGAGGUGAAAUUCGUAGAUAUUCGCAAGAACACCAGUGGCGAAGGCGGCUCACUGGCCCGAUACUGACGCUGAGGCACGAAAGCGUGGGGAGCAAACAGG